rnacentral:rRNA from 1 species
UACAGAGGUCCCAAGCGUUGUUCGGAUUCACUGGGCGUAAAGGGUGCGUAGGUGGCCGGUUAAGUCUGACGUGAAAUCUCCGAGCCUAACUCGGAAACUGCGUCGGAAACUAUCCGGCUCGAGGGUUGGAGGGGGGACUGGAAUUCCUGGUGUAGCGGUGAAAUGCGCAGAUAUCAGGAGGAACACCGGUGGCGAAGGCGGGUCUCUGGGCCGAUACUGACGCUGAGGAGCGAAAGCAUGGGUAGCGAACAGG